CAUUUGAUAGUUGGCUCAGAACUUCCAGAAAACUGUUGGCUAUUAGAAGUUUCUGAACUAACAGAUAUUGGUCAUCUUAUAAAUGAGGAAACUGAGGUCCAGCACUCCAUCCACUGCAAUACCUAGCUGCCCAAGGAGAAUCUCCCUGAUAAGGAUAACUUUAAAAAUCUGUGCUACAUUUUUCCUAACAGAUUCCCUUUUCCUGAAGAGGAGUGGAGGCUGCUUCUGGACAGAAAUGGCUGUUCCAUUUGCCCAGGACCCCAGUUCUACAAGAGAGAAUGUGAAAAGAGGAAGGAAAAAGGAAGAUGUGGAGAGGAAUGAUAAAUCCAAGCUGUUAAAUUGAGACAGAAUUAUAUUGCAUUUAUACUGAAGAGCUUGACCACUUAGAAAUGGAUACUUUGCCUGGAUAUAAUCCUGCCUGGCUAAAUCCCCAAGGAUAAAGGUGACUAAGAUUUGCUGCAAGUGGAGCCGGUGACUGAAGCUUUAUAAUGAUUUUCCAGGACAUGACUGUCAAUAGCUUUACCUAAAUAGACAUUUUAGUAAGCACACUGAAAACAUUUGUAGCUUUUUAUUGUGAAGGUUCUGGUCACAAAACAGUGCAUACAACUCAAGUGGCAGCCAGCUUAUCCUCCACCUGCAAGAAAGUACAAAAAUGUGAGGUCAUCAAAGUGAAUACAGGAUUUGUUAUUUCCACACCUGAUAGGACACAUUGCUAAUAUUUUAUUUCACAAGGGAAUUCUGAUUUGAAACCUUGGGUACUUAUUGUGCACAUUUAAUUGUCAUU
rnacentral:lncRNA from 1 species